rnacentral:rRNA from 1 species
CCUACGGGAGGCUGCAGUCGAGAAUCAUUCACAAUGGGGGAAACCCUGAUGGUGCGACGCCGCGUGGGGGAAUGAAGGUCUUCGGUUUGUAAACCCCUGUCAUGUGGGAGCAAAUUAAAAAGAUAGUACCACAAGAGGAAGAGACGGCUAACUCUGUGCCAGCAGCCGCGGUAAUACAUAGGUCUCAAGCGUUGUUCGGAAUCACUGGGCGUAAAGCGUGCGUAGGCUGUUUCGUAAGUCGUGUGUGAAAGGCGCGGGCUCAACCCGCGGACGGUAUAUGAUACUGCGAGACUAGAGUAAUGGAGGGGGAAGCGGAAUUCUCGGUGUAGCAGUGAAAUGCGUAGAUAUCGGGAGGAACACUAGUGGCGAAGGCGGGUUCCUGGACAUUAACUGACGCUGAGGCACGAAGGCCAGGGGAGCGAAAGGGAUUAGAUACCCCUGUAGUC